UACGUAGGGUCCGAGCGUUGUCCGGAAUUAUUGGGCGUAAAGGGCUCGUAGGCGGUUUGUCGCGUCGGGGGUGAAAACCUACAGCUUAACUGUGGGCUUGCUUUCGAUACGGGCAGACUUGAGGCAUGCAGGGGAGAACGGAAUUCCUGGUGUAGCGGUGAAAUGCGCAGAUAUCGGGAAGAACACCCGUGGCGAAGGCGGCUCUCUGGGACGGGACUGACGCUGAGACGCGAAAGCGUGGGGAGCGAACAGG
rnacentral:rRNA from 1 species